AUAUCCUUAUGCCGCGUCGGUCCCGCGCGAGCGGGUGAAAAGGGAACGCCGUGCGGUCAGGUGCCCAACACCAGGCCAAGUCGGCGGCUGCCCCCGCAACUGUCAGCGGCGAGCCGCGCGCCCAUCCGCCCCGAAAGGGGCGGGGCCACUGGGGAAACCCGGGAAGGCAGGGCGUGCGGCAAGGACCCGCGAGCCAGGAGACCUGCCGGCGCGGCAACCCCUUU
rnacentral:ncRNA from 1 species